rnacentral:rRNA from 1 species
UACGGAGGGUGCAAGCGUUGCUCGGAAUUACUGGGCGUAAAGAGCACGUAGGCGGUUUGGUAAGUCCGAUGUGAAAGCCCACGACUCAAUCGUGGAAGUGCAUUGGAUACUGCUAGACUUGAGUACAGGAGGGGUGAGCGGAAUUCCAGGUGUAGAGGUGAAAUUCGUAGAUAUCUGGAGGAACAACGGUGGCGAAGGCGGCUCACUGGACUGUGACUGACGCUGAGGUGCGAAAGUGUGGGGAGCAAACAGG